rnacentral:misc_RNA from 1 species
UUCCGUAGGUGAACCUGCGGAAGGAUCAUUACUGAAUUAUCUAUUCAAUUUAUAAACUCUUUCGAGACUCGAUAUACAAAAUGUCUGAAUGAAAAUAAUUUAAUUAUUAAAACUUUUAACAACGGAUCUCUUGGUUCUCGCAUCGAUGAAGAACGCAGCAAAAUGCGAUAAGUAUUGUGAAUUGCAGGAUUUUGUGAAUCAUCGAAUUUUUGAACGCACAUUGCGCCCUCUGGUAUUCCGGAGGGCAUACCUGUUUGAGCGUCAUUUUUCUCUCUCUAUCUCUAGAGGUUAUGGACUAUAUACAUUAUGUAUUCGUCUGAAAAAUAGUGGUGGCUAUGCAUUGUAUGCCUACAAACUAAUGUUGUAAAAAUUCGUUAGGAAAUAGGUAAUUGAUGCAAAAUACACCUUAAACUAUUAUUUAUUUGACCUCAAAUC